GAUGAACGCUAGCGGCAGGCUUAAUACAUGCAAGUCGAGGGACAGCACAGGUAGCAAUACUGGGUGGUAACCGGCAAACGGGUGCGGAACACGUACACAACCUUCCUUUAAGUGGGGGAUAGCCCAGAGAAAUUUGGAUUAAUACCCCGUAAUAUAGUUGAAUGGCAUCAUUUGAUUAUUAUAGCUACGGCGCUUAAUGAUGGGUGUGGUGCUGAUUAGAUAGUUGGCGGGGUAACGGCCCACCAAGACUACGAUAAGUAGCUGAUGUGAGCGAAUGAUAAGCCACACGGGAACUGAGACACCGCCCAGACUCCUAGGGGAGGCAGUAGUAAGUAAUAGUGGUCAAUGGACGCAAGUAUGAACCAGCCAUGCCGCGUGAAGGAUUAAGGUCCUCUGGAUUGUAAACUUCUUUUAUUUGGGACGAAAAAGGGCCUUUCUAGGGCAACUGACGGUACCAGAUGAAUAAGCACCGGCUAACUCCGUGCCAGCCGCCGCAGUAACAC
rnacentral:rRNA from 1 species